AGGAGGAUCCUGUGAUGCAGACGCACAGUCACAAUUUCAUGAUGACCAGGCUGAGCCACAGAAAAAGACAAAUUAAGGUUAAAAUCAUUCUUACUAGGAAAUAAAAUAUAAAAUCUGAUAUUUCUGAUUGAGAAUAUCAAUCGUCAGUCAGCUACACGCCCCCCCACAUACACACGUCACAUUUUGACCAAUGAGGAUGUGAUAGAAAUUUAAAAUCCUCAUCUUCACGUUUCUUAAUUAUAGUUAAAGCAGAAACAACUACAGGGAGGUUUCACGUUCAGUUUAAUUUUGGGGAUGGAUAGUUUUUGCAGUGGAGAGAGAAACUUGAAAUGGGAAAUAGACAGGUUCUAUCCACUUCAGUCCACAUGGAGGUGCCCUUGAGCAAGGCACGGACUUCACCUCACAGCUGCCACAGCAGAGGAUUUAGGGUUUAAUUCAAAAAGAUUUAAAAACACAUAUAAACUAAAACACACCAGGUUGAUCCAACGAUCCAAUCAGGGUCCAGGCCUAGGAGUUUUAUAUUCUAAAUAUUGUGAUUGUGAUUUUGAAGUAGUUGCAUGAUUCUAAAAAAUAAAUAAUUAUCAGAUUAAAUCAUAUAUUUAAAUUAUACAUUGCAUUAGGGCUGUAUCUGAUACUUCCUGUCCUGUCUAACAACUGUAAUUUCAAAGAGGUCAAUGCUGCGUGUUUUUAGAUUGCAAAUAUCGUGAUAUCCGUUCAUUAAUAUCAAGAAUAUCAAGUUUACUCCAUUUUCUACUUUGUGCUCUGACAGAAACUGAAAUUGAUCUCUUAGAGAAAAAUCCUGUUUUAAAUAAAGAUAAAUCUUUACUGUCCCAGCCCAGAUCCACAUCUUUAAAGUUUGACUAAGAUGCAGGUUUUGCUCUGAAGCUUCAGAAGUUUCCUUCAAAGUUACAUCAUUUUUCAGCCUUUUAAUAAAAUCCUUGAAUUGGAUUUCAACUGGAAGAUACAGUGAAGCACGGACAGGUACUAAAAACACAGUGACUCUGGAAGAAACCAGUUGAUUCAGUCUAAUUGCUGAAACAUCAACACUGGUUGAUAGACAUGGACCAACAGCUCCCUCUAGUUUGGCUUCUCCAGGCCUCCACAGUUUCUAUUGUAAUAAUCUUUGUGAACUCACUCAUGAUACUUCCAAGGGUCAUAAGAGAAUCUUUAAUACAUAAAAUAACACAAACUCAUCCUGUACAUCAGUGUGUGAGUGUAUUUCAGGAGCCGAGCACUGUCGGAGCUUUUCAAAGAGGAGCAGCAUCAGUCUCUGAGAAUGUGACCCAGCCGGUUUGUUGUCUUCCUGUGGACGAGUGGAAGAUGAAACCGGAAGUUACCUGAGUUCAGUAUCUGGAGGUUCUCUUGGAGUCGGGACAGGCUUAGACGGAGGCUUUGAUCCGGUUCAUCAGAUCAGAGACGACACAAGAGGAGUCGAGAGCAGCUGAGCUCAUCUGUGACCGACCGUGGGAAGAGAUAAGGUCAGCUGACGAUGGGUGGCUCCUCCUCCAAAACAACCUUUGUCUGGAAAAAGAAGAAGAAAUCACCUCUGGAAAAAGCCUGGAAGGACCUGAAGGGGGCGCUGCCCGACAAGAAGCGCAAGAAGAAGAGUUCUCGGUCCCUGGACAAGCUGAACUUGGAUAACCUGAGGAAGGGGAAGUCUUCCCAGAGGAGAUUCUCACUGCCAACAGACAAGAAAGAGCCGAAGCAAAGGUUUUCUCUGGGUAACCUGAGGAAGACGCCGAUGAAGGAGGAGAAGGAGAGGAGCGCAGGAGGGCUGGGGAAAGUAGGAGAGCAGAUAAAAAGGGCAUUUUCUCAGGAACAAAAGAAAGAGCUCAGGACUCAAGAUGUCUCUCCCUCUGUGAAGUUAAAGACAAAGGAGACAAAAGAGGAAAACGUUCAGAAAAGUGUCUCGAAAGCGACUAAGAUAAACUUCAAGUUCCCACGAGAUCUGUUCAUUUGACAGGAAUCAGAGCAAAAGGACAAUUUAGACGAAGAGACUUUUGUUUUGGAGAUGAAACAAAAGACGACAGGAGAGUCAGAGACAUUCAAGGUUUUUUAAUGACGUCUCGGUGGAGCUUGAGACCACAGACUGAAAACAAAGACGGACGACAUGAUGGAUCCUCAAAAGGGAAUCUUGAUCGCCCCCUUGUGGCCGGUUGCAGUAUUCGUCACAAACCCUUUCUCCUCCAUGUUAGUUGACCAUUUUAUAAUAAACAGGAUUAAACAUUGUGAUUAACA